CCAAUUUUUAAAAUCCAAACCCAUUGACCCGUUUUAAAGUAAAUGAUACAAUCAGCAGGCCGAGUUUGGGAAGCCAUGGGAAAUGUUGGUUCAAAUAAUGAGCGAACUAGAGCAGUUGGUGGACAGAAUGGUGUUCGAAAGCUUCGGAGUACCAGAAAAGCACUAUGAAUCACAUAUAGCAACCACUAUACCUCCUCCGCCCUACCAAGUACAUAGCACCACCAUCAGCGACGGCACACAGCACCAACAAUGUCGGCGCCAAUAUACACACAGAUAAGAGCUUCUCUUUCAGAAUCAGGUUCUGGAUGAGGGAACUGGGUAAUCCAGUGGUCUGCCACACCUUUGGGGAAACCAACUAAAUUGCACAUCUUUUGGGACAAGAAGGAAUGAAGAAAGCAACACCAAAUCAGCUUCUUGUUUUGCUCACUCUAUAUCAACCUUUAGCGUAUAAUA